rnacentral:rRNA from 1 species
AUUGAACGCUGGCGGCAUGCCUUACACAUGCAAGUCGAACGGCAGCGCGGGAGCAAUCCUGGUGGCGAGUGGCGAACGGGUGAGUAAUAUAUCGGAACGUGCCCAGUCGUGGGGAUAACGUAGCGAAAGCUACGCUAAUACCGCAUACUAUCUAUGGAUGAAAGCGGGGGAUCGCAAGACCUCGCGCGAUUGGAGCGGCCGAUAUCAGAUUAGGUAGUUGGUGAGGUAAAGGCUCACCAAGCCGACGAUCUGUAGCUGGUCUGAGAGGACGACAGCCACACUGGGACUGAGACACGGCCCAGACCUCCUACGGGAGGCAGCAGUGGGGAAUUUUGGGACAAUGGGCGCAAGCCUGAUCCAGCAAUGCCGCUGCAGGAUGAAGGCCUUCGGGUUGUAAAC